rnacentral:tRNA from 1 species
CACUCCAUGGCGCAACGGAAGCGCGUCUUGACUCCAGAUCAGAAGGUUGCGUGUUCAAAUCACGUCGGGGUCA